AUUCAACUGACGAGUCCCAAAUAGGACGAAGUGGCACGCUUCCUGUAU
rnacentral:hammerhead_ribozyme from 1 species